rnacentral:rRNA from 1 species
UGGGGAAUAUUGCACAAUGGGCGCAAGCCUGAUGCAGCCAUGCCGCGUGUAUGAAGAAGGCCUUCGGGUUGUAAAGUACUUUCAGCGAGGAGGAAGGCGUUGUGGUUAAUAACCGCAACGAUUGACGUUACUCGCAGAAGAAGCACCGGCUAACUCCGUGCCAGCAGCCGCGGUAAUACGGAGGGUGCAAGCGUUAAUCGGAAUUACUGGGCGUAAAGCGCACGCAGGCGGUCUGUCAAGUCGGAUGUGAAAUCCCCGGGCUCAACCUGGGAACUGCAUCCGAAACUGGCAGGCUAGAGUCUUGUAGAGGGGGGUAGAAUUCCAGGUGUAGCGGUGAAAUGCGUAGAGAUCUGGAGGAAUACCGGUGGCGAAGGCGGCCUCCUGGACAAAGACUGACGCUCAGGUGCGAAAGCGUGGGGAGCAAACA